AGUGGCGCAAGGGUGCGUAACACGUGGGUAAUUUGCCAUGAAGUCUGGAAUAACUUGCUGAAAGGCGAGCUAAUGCCGGAUGUGAUUUCUGGAAGGCAUCUUCUGGAACUUAAAGUCGGGGACCGUAAGGCCUGACGCUUCUUGAUAAGCCCGCGGCCUAUCAGCUAGUUGGUGAGGUAACGGCUCACCAAGGCUAAGACGGGUAGCUGGUCUGAGAGGACGACCAGCCACACUGGAACUGAGACACGGUCCAGACACCUACGGGUGGCAGCAGUCGAGAAUUUUUCUCAAUGGGGGAAACCCUGAAGGAGCGACGCCGCGUGGGGGAUGAAUGGCUUCGGCCCGUAAACCCCUGUCAUUUGCGAUCAAACCUCACAGCCUAACACGCUGUGAGCUGAUAGUAGCGGAAGAGGAAGGGACGGCUAACUCUGUGCCAGCAGCCGCGGUAAUACAGAGGUCCCAAGCGUUGUUCGGAUUCACUGGGCGUAAAGGGUGCGUAGGCGGUCGGGUAAGUCUGAUGUGAAAGCUCGGAGCUCAACUCCGAAAUGGCAUCGGAUACUAUUCGGCUAGAGGAAUGGAGGGGAGACUGGAAUACUUGGUGUAGCAGUGAAAUGCGUAGAUAUCAAGUGGAACACCAGUGGCGAAGGCGAGUCUCUGGACAUUUCCUGACGCUGAGGCACGAAAGCCAGGGGAGCAAACGGGAUUAGAUACCCCGGUAGUCCUGGCCCUAAACGGUGCACGUUUGCUGUAAGAGGAAUCGACCCCUUUUGUGGCGAAGCUAACGCGUUAAACGUGCCGCCUGGGAAGUACGGCCGCAAGGUUAAAACUCAAAGAAAUUGACGGGGGCCUGCACAAGCGGUGGAGUAUGUG
rnacentral:rRNA from 1 species